AAGGAAGCCCAGGAAAGGCUACCUAGGGUAGAGUAUUGGAUUAGAGUCAGAGGGCUCAUUUGUUUUUUGGUUUUGCUGGUUUCCUGUUUAACCGGAGGGUGCUCUCUCACACCGUCUAAACUUCAUGGGACGAGGAAACGAGAUCCAGUUCGACAACUUGUCCAAGGUCACGGAGCAAGGAGAUUGAUUCUAUACCUGUAUACUAAAUCAGAGCUGCUCUGGGUUUUCUUUCUUUUCAGUCAUGUGAAGCGAUGCGUCCUAAUAUUUGAUGCUAUGGAUAUUGUGUCACAAGAAAUUAGUGAAAAAUCCGUGGAGACAGAAAAUAGACUGGUGGUUGCUAGGAGGUGGGGGGGGGGAUGGGAUGGGGAGUGGCUGUUAGUGGGUAGGAUCGUCUUUAGUGUAGGGAAAAUGUUCUGCAGUUUGAUAGUGAUGACACAAACUCUGAGUAUACUAAAAUACCACUGACUUGUACCGUUUGACCAAGUCAACUUUGUGAUACGUGUGUGAAUUGUGUGUGGAUAAGGCUGUUACAAAAUACGUCAAGAGUAAGAGUGCUGUGGGUUAACCCACACAAACACAUGGUUGGGGUAUGUCACAAUUCUGUUCUUAGUGGGCAAAAACUGUGGUUUAUAUGCAUGCAUGCAUUCAUUCAUUCAUUCAUUCAUCCGAUAAUCCAUGCCCAUCUUUACCAGGUACUCUGACAGGGGUACAAAGAUUAAAAAUGCAUGAUUUCUGCCUUCAAGGAGUUCCCCGUCUACUGAGGGGGCGGUCAUUAUAGUACAAUAUGGUAAAUGUUAUUCCAGGGAGGUAAUCAAAGUGCCAGAUUUAGGGUACUUAAAACCAAGGGAGGGACGUUUGCACCAUCAUGGAGACGCUGGAGUACAUGACAGAGUUUGCCAAUGGCUGAUGUGCUGGGUGUGAGAGGUGUGGCAGAAAAUGCAGCCAGACUGUUACAGGACAAAGUCUCACCGUGUGUUAGAGCUCAGUUCAAGACCGACACCCUAAUGAAAAAGUGAAAACUGAAUUCCUCUUUGUCUUUCCUAUUCCUGCCACAGUGUGUGAUUUUGGUGAAUGGUCUCGGUAUAAACCCAGUUUGGUUACCUCACAGAGAGCAACAGUUGCAUCAACUGACCUUUGUUUCUACCUUUAUAGUAGAGUUGUAUAGUACCUUUCUUUCCUCUGAAGCUGGAGAGGUUGAGGGGAUGCACUCAAGGCUUUACAGCUUCUAUCCUAAGUGAUGGAUCUAGAAUGACUCCAUUUCCAGGCUGAGUCCCACAUUCUUGACAUUGUCAGCCUUGCGAGUUGUGAAGCUUCCUUAGAAGCGCAAAGAACUCUUGAGCUAAAAAAGCUGUUUGAGCAGCAGCAAGUGAAACCUGUUUUUAACACUUGGAGUUGAUCUACUUUUGGAUUGGGAAGUAGGGAUAUUAUAGGCCCUAAGGGGAGAAAACAAACAAACAACAUAGCCAGCUGAUCCCCUUAGCUCCUCAGGAAAAUCCCGGAUUCUGGAUUUGUAAGAGUGGCCUUGCAGUUGGAAAACCGGAGGCUACCUAUCUGUAUUGUCAGCAUACGAUUGUCAGCAUCAACAGCACUUUCCUUCUCCACCUUUCCUUCCAUCCCUCCCUGGUUUGUGAAUACCUUUUGAAAGCAGAGACUGGGCUUUGUUAAUUUCCUUGCUUCCCCUCCCCACACUUAACAACCUCCUCCCUCUUAACCCUCCCCUCUUCCCCGCCCUCCCAGCCUCAGAGCUUGGGACCCAGUAGCCCCUCAAUGAAUGUUUGCUCAAUAUUCAAUGUUGUUUUACUGGCAAAAAGGGAAUCGUUUUUCCCCACACUAAUUGUUUAUAGUGCUGAUAUACAUUAUGAAUUUGGGGUAUUAAUUGGUCUAUAUAGCAUGUACAUUCUACAGCUUUGGGACACGGUUGCAAGAACAUGAGAGAAUUCAUACAUUCCACAUUUUAACAAGCUGUGAAUUGAACUCUAAAUCUGAAGCCUGAGUUUAAGUCAGUUUCAAUCUAAUAGAACACAAUAUUAAUAUUUUAACAGUAAAUAAGCUAAGUACUUGAGAGCAGAAUAAUUUUAAUAUUUAUUAUAGAAUUUUUUUUAUCGCUGAGGAGAUAAUUUGCUAGUAGUUUCAAAGGUCUUCAAAAUCUUUUCUAAAUCUUCCUUUUUUUCUUUUCCUUUUUCAAUUCCUCCUUUUAGUCUCAUUUUAAUCUUUCACAGUAUUCUGUUAUCUAAUUAACACCUCAGCAUUACAAUCCUAUUUUCCAUAAAUUUCUGUGUUAAAAAUCUAGGGAAUCUAAAAAAUGGGGUCAGGGGGAGAAUGGGUGCUGAUCUCCCUGGAGUCUAAGGCCUGGAGAAAACCAAGAAGCCUGUAACUCUUCCUUUUGCAGGAACAGAUGUUGUCCCUCCCGGAGGAGUUAUUAUGGGUUGGAAGAAAUGAGAUAAUAAAAAUAAACAAGCAAUACUGUGAAUGUUAUCAAACAUCAUCAGCACCAGCCAGAUAGAUCCCUAAAUAAGUAUUCUUUACCAAUAAAAGCAAAAGCAGAUGAACAUGACAGUUUUCUAAAUAUAUGCAGAAAAAGAAACAAUUUGAGCAAAAUAGCCAACCUAACUGGGCUACACAUGAGCCACUCCUUGGGAAGGUGGAAACUGUUGUUGGUUCAGCCUCCCUGGCCAUCCGCAGUCAACCCUGCCCCAGAGCCUUUGCUGCCUUCUUAAACAGCCUUCUUCCUUUCCAGGUCACAUGGCAAUCUACUGCCCCUUAGGAUAUUUAUGGGAUCUGUUUUAUGGGUGAAAAGCCAACCAAAGAUAGGACAAGGGGAAGAGCCAGAAUCCUUCCCUGCUUAGCUGUCUGCCAGAUCCUGGGGUUUCCAAUCAGUUAGCCCUGGGCCUCCUUGCCGUUCUAGGAAAAUCAAUCUGUGGCAAAAUUUGAGGAAAGGAAGGAUACCAGCAGAUAAUGAUUACAAAGGUAUUUAACCUGAUGAAAAAGAACAAUUUUGUAGGUAGUGUAAAUGUGAAAAUUAGGAACUUUUUUUUUUUUUUAAGUCAAACGUAAUGCUACAAUUGCAUCCUCCAAACAGUUAAUGGUGGGAAACUAUUCCCUAGCUCUGUCUGAUUAGGGAAAGUUUAUGAUGAAGGUGGAUUUUGAGUUGACAGUGAAGGAUGUGUGAGGACCACUAGUCAGAACGAGGGGAGUUUGGAGUGAGCAGCACCUGGAAAGUCCCAGUGUGUGCAUAGGUAUGUGGCUUCAGAAAAGUCACCGAAAGGUGACCUGUGGAUGAAGCGUUGAAGGUGACCUGCGGAUGAAGUGUGCAAAUUUCUGUUUAUCUAAACUGCUCACAGCUUCUCUGCCUUUGUGUAUUUGCAGAUUCUCUACUUCCACCUCCAGGAAAAUAGAUACAUAUUUAAGAGAAAAAGACACUGGCUUGAAGUAACUUAGCUGUUACCAUAGAGAACAAGAAAAUAACAAAUUUCACAUCAUGUGAAAGGAAAGUCAAGCGUGAUAAUUAUUCAGAAUAAACCACUCAAAAGGCUCUUCAGUAGAAUAAAGAAGAAUCGUUGUCCCAAAGGAAGCUACUGUUUUGACAUUUCACUGGGAAGAGAUCCAAAAAUUGAGACUAGGAGUAUAGCCCUUGCUUUUCUUCUGGAAGACUUCAUGUGAUAAUUCAGAGAAGCUGAUGUUUGUAAUUCUAGUUACCUUCAGAUGAUAAUCAAAUCAAACAAAUCAAACAAAACCAAUGGAUGCAUGUAUAGAGGAGACUGACACUGCAAUAAUUUCUAUCUUUUUAAUAAAUGACUUGAU
rnacentral:lncRNA from 1 species